rnacentral:ncRNA from 1 species
CGGUAAACGCUGGGUAGCCAAGUGCGGAGAGGAUAACUGCUGAAAGCAUAUAAGUAGUAAGCCCACCCCAAGAUGAGUGCUCUCUCCUCCGACUUCCCUAGAGCCUCCGGUAUCACAGCCGAGACAGCGACGGGUUCUCCACCCUUACGGGGAUGGAGCGACAGAAGUAUGGAAAUAGGAUAAGGUAGCGGCGAGACGAGCCGUUUAAAUAGGUGUCAAGUGGAAGUGCAGUGAUGUAUGCAGCUGAGGCAUCCUAACGAACGAACGAUUUGAACCU